rnacentral:tRNA from 1 species
GCCUAGUUAGCUAGGAAAAGUAUGCGUCUGCCUUGUGAACGCUAGGUCGCGGGUUCGAAUCCCGCCCGGGGCG